rnacentral:rRNA from 1 species
UGGGGAAUAUUGCACAAUGGAGGGAACUCUGAUGCAGCGACGCCGCGUGAACGAAGAAGGCUUUCGAGUCGUAAAGUUCUUUUAUAUGGGAAGAUAAUGACGGUACCAUAAGAAAAAGCCCCGGCUAACUACGUGCCAGCAGCCGCGGUAAUACGUAGGGGGCUAGCGUUGUCCGGAAUCACUGGGCGUAAAGGGUUCGCAGGCGGAAAUGCAAGUCAGGUGUAAAAGGCAGUAGCUUAACUACUGUAAGCAUUUGAAACUGCAUAUCUUGAGAAGAGUAGAGGUAAGUGGAAUUUUUAGUGUAGCGGUGAAAUGCGUAGAUAUCAUGAAGAACUCCGAUUGCGAAGGCAGCUUACGGGAGCGCAACUGACGCUGAAGCUCGAAGGUGCGGGUAUCGAACAGG